rnacentral:rRNA from 1 species
GUUGUGGUUAAAAAGCUCGUAGUUGAACCUUGGGCCUGGCUGGCCGGUCCGCCUCACCGCGUGCACUGGUCCGGCCGGGCCUUUCCCUCUGUGGAACCCCAUACCCUUCACUGGGCGUGGCGGGGAAACAGGACAUUUACUUUGAAAAAAUUAGAGUGCUCCAGGCAGGCCUAUGCUCGAAUACAUUAGCAUGGAAUAAUAAAAUAGGACGCGCGGUUCUAUUUUGUUGGUUUAUAGGACCGCCGUAAUGAUUAAUAGGGACAGUCGGGGGCAUCAGUAUUCAACUGUCAGAGGUGAAAUUCUUGGAUCAGUUGAAGACUAACUACUGCGAAAGCAUUUGCCAAGGAUGUUUUCAUUAAUCAGGAACGAAAGUUAGGGGAUCGAAGACGAUCAGAUACCGUCGUAGUCUUAACCAUAAACUAUGCCGACUAGGGAUCGGACGGUGUUAUUCAUGACCCGUUCGGCACCUUACGAGAAAUCAAAGUGCUUGGGCUCCAGGGGGAGUAUGGUCGCAAGGCUGAAACUUAAAGAAAUUGACGGAAGGGCACCACCAGGGGUGGAGCCUGCGGCUUAAUUUGACUCAACACGGGGAAACUCACCAGGUCCAGACACAAUAAGGAUUGACAGAUUGAGAGCUCUUUCUUGAUUUUGUGGGUGGUGGUGCAUGGCCGUUCUUAGUUGGUGGGGUGACUUGUCUGCUUAAUUGCGAUGACGAACGAGACCUUAACCUGCUAAAUAGCCCGCAUUGCUCGGGCAGUGCGCUGGCUUCUUAGAGGGACUUUCGGCUCAAGCCGAAGAAGUUUGAGGCAAUAACAGGUCUGUGAUGCCCUUAGAAU